GACGGAGGAUGCAAGCGUUAUCCGGAAUGAUUGGGCGUAAAGCGUCCGCAGGUGGCAGUUCAAGUCUGCUGUCAAAGACCGGGGCUUAACUUCGGAAAGGCAGUGGAAACUGAACAGCUAGAGUAUGGUAGGGGCAGAGGGAAUUCCCGGUGUAGCGGUGAAAUGCGCAGAUAUCGGGAGGAACACCUAUGGCGAAGGCAGCUCGCUGGGACGUUACUGACGCUGAGACGCGAAAGCGUGGGGAGCAAACAGG
rnacentral:rRNA from 1 species